GACGAACGCUGGCGGCGUGCUUAACACAUGCAAGUCGAACGAAGUGGCGAACGGGUGAGUAAUACGUGAGUAACUGCCCUCCUUUUUGGGAUAAGCCUUGGAAACGGGGUCUAAUACCGAAUAAAGGGGGAUGGGCUCGCGGCCUAUCAGCUUGUUGGUGGGGGGAUGGCCUACCAAGGCGGUGACGGGUAGCCGGCCUGAGAGGGGACCAGACACAUUGGGCUAAGUUACGGCCCAGAUGCCUACGGGGGGCAGCGGUGGGGAAUAUUGCACAAUGGGGGAAACCGUGAUGCAGCAACGCCGGGUGCGGGAUGACGGCCUUCGGGUUGUAAACCGCUUUCAGCCAUGACGCGGUAGUGGCAGAAGAAGCACCGGCUAACUACGUGCCAGCAGCCGCGGUAAUUC
rnacentral:rRNA from 1 species